UGGUAGAUGCACCCUGAUAACUAAACUCCCCUAGUCGGCUAACAUCCACUGGGGGUUUUUUCU
rnacentral:sRNA from 1 species